rnacentral:rRNA from 1 species
GACGAACGCUGGCGGCGUGCUUAACACAUGCAAGUCGAGCGGUAAGGCCCCUUUGGGGGUACACGGGCGGCGAACGGGUGAGUAACACGUGGGUGACCUGCCCUCAGCUCUGGGAUAAGCCUGGGAAACUGGGUCUAAUACCGGAUAUGACUCCAUGACGCAUGUUGUGGGGUGGAAAGCCUUGUGCGGCUGGGGAUGGGCCCGCGGCCUAUCAGCUUGUUGGUGGGGUGAUGGCCUACCAAGGCGACGACGGGUAGCCGGCCUGAGAGGGCGACCGGCCACACUGGGACUGAGACACGGCCCAGACUCCUACGGGAGGCAGCAGUGGGGAAUCUUGCGCAAUGGGCGAAAGCCUGACGCAGCGACGCCGCGUGAGGGAUGACGGCC